CAAAUACUUAGACAUUUUUACUGCUAUUUUACUUAGGGAAAGAUGUGUUUGUUGGUUGCUUAUUUAGAUCUUUGACAAAUUCUCCACAUCAAACAAGGUCAAGCCACAAAUAAUGCCCAAGAUCAACUAAAAAUCUAGUAAAGAUCAAUGACUUGAAAUGUGGAUUUGAAAGGAUGUGGGUCAAUGUAAAAGCUGCAAGAAUUUUUUUCUUCAUUAUUUUAAAACAAAUGCACAUCUUCUGCGGGUAAAACAGCCCAAAGCAGUGUCUUUUAAACCACCUAUACCAAAAGAUAAAACACCUUGGAAACAACAAGCCUUUGACAUCUGUGACACAGGAGACAUGCAGAAGUCAUUAAGGGUAUCCCGAGGGGGUUCCAACAGUUGCUUCACUUUAGGGUGGAUGUGAGAAGGCUUAAAAUUAAAUUACUUUAAAAUAAAGUUAGAGCAGUAAGCAAUUUCCUGCUUUCUACUCAGAAGGGUUUCCCGUGAGAAAAGAAAGUGGGCAAAAAGCUCAGACAGACAGACAAACAUAUUUACCCCUAGGUGGAAGGUACAAAUUAAAUUAGCCUGCUACAAAAGGGAGAUGUUUUCUCCUUCUGUUCAGAUGUCAUGGUAGUGAGGAAACAUAGUCUGGGGCCAAGAAAAAUGGCACAAAUGCAUUCAUCUGAGCUACCAUUCAUCCUGAUCCAAGGUCUAAACAGAACACAUAAAAGAACGGCACUGUUGAAGGACUUCCUCUCCCUAGUUACCAAGUUGAGACUUGCAAAGGCACAUGGGAGCAGGGGGUGGGGAUCUUUCCAGAAUGUUUCAAUGUUGAUGGAGUGUCAGAGGAUGUUAUGGAGUUAAUGACUGAAUCUGAAAUCACAUCAGUAUAAGUUGAUUCCAUAUUUCAUAGAAAGAGCUGUAUUUUAUGGUGCACAGUAUGGUGUGUUUAAAGGUACAUUGUGAACUUUCUUUCCCUCUGUAGCUGGAAACCAAUAUAGGCACUUCCAAAGAGUCAAGUAUCUAUUAUAGUGCCUCAUUAAUAUGCAUGUUUUUGGCACUCAGUUUGGUUCAGCUGGUAUGCUUUCCAGUAUCUCAUUCUUUAUUUAUAUGAGACUGGGAGGUGUGACCUAUGGAGCCAGUUGGCUGUCAUGAAUUGGAAUAUUCAUUAAGCCUCAUGAAUUAUGCAUUAGCCUGCUUAUAAUACUGAGAUCCACAUUUGAUCUAGCCAGAACUCUCUGCUUUCCAUUCAACGAAACGAUCCACAUUUUGGUCAAACUGUACAUGUGUUCCAUACACUGCAGAAGGACUGCCUGUAUAUUUGCCACCAAAAAGGCUUGGAGAUUUUGCACCUCACAUCUGACUAAGUGGGUUUCAUAUUUUUCGCUUGUUUGAAGGGCAUUGCAGACAUGGUUCUCCUCUGUAAAACGAGGUUAGAGUAGCAUUCUUCCCUAGCCUGAUUACUAUUUCCAUCCAUUACUGCCCUUGCCUAUAAAAGUCACCAAUGACUGGUAAGCAGCCUGGAUUACAAAAGAUAUGUAGCUAUCUCCUGGCAAUCCACACACAAAAGCAAAGCCAAAUAUAAAAAACAUGGAAAGUGCUUUUAAGAAUUUAGUUUCUCUUAUCUAAAACAAGGAAACCCUUUUACUGAUAACCUUAUCAUUUGUGAUACUUUUUUAUGGAUAGGUAUAUCCUGGCUACAUAAAAUCUAAUUUGUAGAUCUUGUUGAUGUUACAAGAUUUUAUCAAAAUUCAAUGACAGUAUUUAUUAGGCAUUAAAUAUUUUAAUUGUUAAAUAAUAUGGAUCAAUAUUAAAUUCAUGGCUUGCUUAAAUCCACACCUUUUACAAUAGAAAGGAAAAAACAGCUGAAAAAAAAUCAACUGGUAAAGAUUAGUAAAAUCUGUAAUACACAUCAGUAAACUGAAACUCUGAAAGCAUUUCACCUUUAUUCAUUCUUUGUACAAGCUACUCAAGUUAAAAUUGUCCCCCCCAAAAUAUCAAUUCUUAAGUAAAAAUAUUAUUUUAUAUAGCAUCGAUCUCAAAUAUUUGAUCACCACCCACUUUAAAAAGUUUCUAUUCUUUCUUUCUCAAUGUAGACCUGCUUUGGAGGGAACUCCUAUUCAGGUAAAUAAUUACUAUAAUGUAAAGCCUAAAACAUAAUUUGAAUUUAGCCCAUUCCAUCUGCUAUAUUCUGGAAGACUGGACUAAGGAAUCUAUAACCAGCUCUACAAAAGGUCAUGGGUGAGUCCUGGGUAAAAUGGCAUUGUUUACAGAUUUCUUAGUGAAGAGAUUAGCUGUCAUUUAUUUUCACAUACCUAACUGAGAAGCUUUAGUGGUUCCCAGCAAGAGUGUGUUCUCUUCUCUUUCUUAGCCUGUCACAUCCUUGUCAGUUUCAAUAAAAUUACUUACCUGAAUUAUGCAAAUGAGGUUUUGUUAUGUCCAGCUCCCAUCAUUGUUCAUCUCCACUACAGCUGAAAAUUCUAGCAGACCCCUUGCUUACACUGUCUGAUUCCAGGACUCCUUAGGUCAAGACCUUUCAACCUCAGAGCUUGACUUAUGCCACAACCAUUUGACAAAUCGCCCAGACCCUCACAAAAGCUGGUUGAGCUCCAGAGUGGCUGCUCUCUCUAUACACCACUGUUUCUCUGUUUUGACAUUUCCUUCUCACUUUUCCUCUCAGUAAUUAGACAAAGGGAAAAAAAGACAUUUGUGUUUAAAGAAUGCUUUCAUUUAGGACUGUGAUAAAUGGCUCCCCUUUCCAAGAAGCUGCAAUCCCACUACAGGACAGAAGGUUCCUUCACAAGGGGUUUGGACAGCAAAGGCCUUCCACCAAAGUUUUCCUGGACUUCAGCUUUGCCUCUAAAAAGCCUGCAGAGAGUUUCCACUGAUCUCUUCUGUGUUUUCAGUAAAACUGAAAAAUGGAAAAAUGUAGCAUGAACUUCCAUAUUAAAAGUAUCAUGGUUGUAAAUGCAA
rnacentral:lncRNA from 1 species